AACAGAUUUUCCUUAUACUGUUUUAAAAUUUAAAGAUUAAUCUUCACAGAGAGUUUGCAAUGUAUCAGAAAAUGGCCUUUUUUUGAAUGGUAGGAGAGGAAA